AAUCGUGUACAAAGUGUGUAUAAAAUGAGUACAUAGGGUUUACAAAUGUUGUAUAAAAGGUGUAUAAAGAGUGUACAAACGGUGUAUAAAGGGUGUAUAAAGGGUUGCAGAAGGGUACACAAAUGGUAUUUAAAGGGGUUAGAAAGCAUGUAAAAAGGGUGUAGAAAGGGUGGAGAAAGACUCUUGAAAAGGUUUAGUAAAGGUGUACGAAGAAGACGAAAGAUGUAGAAAUCGUGUACAAUGUCUGUAUAAAGUGAGUACAAAGGGUUUACAAAUGUUGUAUAAAGGGUGUACAAAAUUUGUGUAACGGGUUUACAAAGGGUGUAGACCCAUUCUACCUCUUUUUAAAAAAUAUGUAGAAAGGUUGCAAAAGGGUGCACAAAUCGUAUAUAAAGGGGUUAUAAAGGAUGUCGAAAAGGUGUAGAAAGACUGUUGAAAGGGUUUAGUAAGGGUGUAAGAAGAUGAAGAAAGAUGUAGAAAUCAUGUACAAAGUCUAUAUAAGGUGAGUUCAAAGGGUUUACAAAUCUUGUAUACAGGGUGUAUAAAGGAUGAACCAAGGGUGUAUAAAGGGUGGACAAAGGGAGUAGACCCAUUCUACCUCUUUUUAAAAAUUAUACAGAAAAUCUGCAGAAGGGUUCACAAAUGGUAUAUAAAGAGGUUAGAACGGAUGUAGAAUGGGUGUAGAAAGACUCUUGAAAAGGUUUAGUAAGGGUGUAAGAAGAUGAAGAAAGAUGUAGAAAUCGUGUACAAAGUGUCUAUAAAGUGAGUACAAAGGGUUUACAAAUGUUGUAUAAAGUGUUUAUAAAGGGUGUAAAAAGGGUGUAUAAAGGGUGUACAAAGGGUGUAGACCCAUUCUACCUCUUUUUAAAAAAAUAUGUAGAAAGCCUGCAGAAGGGUUCAGAAAUGGUAUAUAAAGGGGUUAGAAAGGAUGUAAAAAGGGUGUUGAAAGACUCUUGAAAAGGUUUAGUAAGGGUGUAAGAAGAUGAAGAAAGAUAUAGAAAUCGUGUACAAAGUGUGUAUAAAGUGAGUACAAAGGGUUUACAAGUGUUUUAUAAAGGGUGUAUAAAGGGUGUACAAAAGGUGUAUAAAGGGUGCACAA
rnacentral:lncRNA from 1 species